AGUGAACGCUGGCGGUAGGCCUAACACAUGCAAGUCGAACGGCAGCACAGUAAGAGCUUGCUCUUACGGGUGGCGAGUGGCGGACGGGUGAGGAAUACAUCGGAAUCUACUUUUUCGUGGGGGAUAACGUAGGGAAACUUACGCUAAUACCGCAUACGACCUACGGGUGAAAGCAGGGGAUCUUCGGACCUUGCGCGAUUGAAUGAGCCGAUGUCGGAUUAGUUAGUUGGCGGGGUAAAGGCCCACCAAGGCGACGAUCCGUAGCUGGUCUGAGAGGAUGAUCAGCCACACUGGAACUGAGACACGGUCGAGACAACGACGGGAGGCAGCAGUGGGGAAUAUUGGACAAUGGGCGCAAGCCUGAUACAGCCAUACCGCGUGGGGGAAGAAGGCCUUCGGGUUGUAAAGUCCUUUUGUUGGGAAAGAAAAGAAGCAGGUUAAUACCCCGCUGUUCUGACGGUACCAAAAGAAUAAGCAACGGCUAACUUCGUG
rnacentral:rRNA from 1 species